AUUGCUUCUCGGCCUUUUGGCUAAGAUCAAGUGUAGUAUCUGUUCUUAUCAGUUUAAAAUGCUCCUUAAGGCAGUUUUUUUUUUCUCCAAGCAGUUUCAUAAUAAUAGCACUGAUACCAGGCAGCACCUGAGGAGGCCAAGACAGGCCUCAACCUGAU
rnacentral:snRNA from 1 species